rnacentral:rRNA from 1 species
GAUAAACGCUGGCGGCGUGCCUAACACAUGCAAGUCGAACGCCCUUACGCAAGUAAGGGAGUGGCGGACGGGUGAGGAACACGUGGGUGAUCUGCCUUGAGGUGAGGAAUACCGGCGAGAAAUCGCCGACAAUACCGCAUACGUUCGCAAGAACAAAGUCGCAAGACGCCUUGAGAUGAGCCUGCGUCCGAUUAGCUAGUUGGUGGGGUAAAAGCCUACCAAGGCAGCGAUCGGUAGCUGGUCUGAGAGGACGAUCAGCCACACUGGGAUUGAGAACGGCCCAGACUCCUACGGGGGCG